GCAGAACCGAAACUUUCUGGGGCCCAGUGGAAAAGAACAGGAGCGCGGAGCGAGCGGCCAUGAAGCACACACCCGGGCGCGGGAGGGUGCGGACUACCACUCCCGGCAUGCUCAGCAGGGCCGGAGCCUACAACUCCCAUCGGACUCCACGGGCCGGCUUGGCUCGGACUACGACUCCCGGCACGCUCCACACACCCGAGAUUUACAGCGCCCGCUCCCCACGCCCCCCUCCAGGGAGCCGACUCUAGGUUAACCCUUGCAAUCCCGGAGGGUGUGUGUGCCAACAAAUUGUCAUCUGGGGUCUUAAGAGCAGCGCUGCCCAUGUGUGUCUACUGAGCACUUGAAAUGCGGCUACUUCGAGUUGAGCUGUGCAUGUGCUGUGAGUCUAAAAUCACCCUAGAUUUCAAAGACUUAGUAUGAAUAAGGAAUGUAAAAUAUUUCAUUCAUUGUUUUACAUUGAUUACGUGUUGAAGUGAUAAUGUUUUUGUUAUGUUGGGCUAAAACUAUGAUUUUAUAUGUUGUUGGGCCUAACGUCUCAUCUUUUGAAUCCCCCUCAUUUCUUAGCAAAGGGCCCUAGAUAAAAUCAGUGCUCAAAAAAGAAAAAAAGUGUAAAGACUGAACUACUACCCCUAACUUCCGCCUGGUCUCAGCCCAAUUUCUAUAAGUUGUGCAUUGGAAGCACUCUGAAGCUGGACUCAGUAGAACAGAAUGCAUUCAAUUAAUGAUGUCUAUCACGGAGAAAAUACAGAAGAGCCACACUAUACGGACCUUUACAAGCAUCAGAAGAGACUCUUCCUCACAGGAAGCAGACCGAGCCCGCCACCACACCAAGGGAAGAGGCUCUGGGGAGAAUUGCUCCCAUCCUUUAAGCGUUUUGUCUGUGCAGGGCCCCAUGUUAAGUGCAUUUCAGGGGCACACUGAGGAGAGAAGUCAAUGGUAUAGUCAUGGAAAAAAAUUCUGGAAAAUAUACAUGUCAGGAUUCAAACCAAGGCCCGGAGCACUGAAGUCCAGAUCCUUCUGCAUCAUCCAUGAGCUAUUAUUGAUAAGCACUGUUCUGUGGGUGAGGGUGGCACAACAAACUCGGAGCUGCCGAUUCUGCAGUCAACUUAUGACUCGCUCUGGGGGUCUCACUUGGACCUUUUCCAUAAAAUAAGAUUGAUUUGGUGGAGAAGACUGUUGUUGUUGUUAUUGCGGUUGUCAGGUGCUGUCACAUGGUUCUGAUUCAUAGCGACCCAUAGACAACAGAGGGAAACAUUGCCCAGUCCUGAGCCCUUCUCACAAUCGCUGUUAUGCUUGAGCUCAUUGUUGCGGCCACUGUGUCAAUCCAUCUUGUUGAGGAUCUUCCUCUUUCUCGCUGACCCUCUCCUUUACCAAGCAUGAGGAUUUUCUCCAGGGACUGGUCCCUUCUGAUAACAUGUCCAAAGUGAGAUGAAGUCUCGCUGUCCUUGCUUCUAAGGAGCAUUCUGGCUGUACUUCUUCCAAGACAGAUUUGUUCCUUUGGCAGUCCAUGGUAUAUUCAAUAUACUUUGCCAUCACCGUAAUUCGAAGGUGUCAAUUCUUCUUCUGUCUUCCUUAUUUAUUGUCCAGCUUUCGCAUGCAUAUGAGACAAUUGAAAGACUAUAGGAGAAGCAAACAUGGGUGGUGUCUAUGGAGGCAUAUUAGGAGUUGGGUUUUAGACAUAUUAGAUUUGAGAUCCCAGUUAGUCAUCCAGCAGGCUACAUGAGACUGGCAUUCAGGGCAGAGGUUAGAGUUGCAGACAUAAAUAUGAGAGCUAUCAGUGUAUAGACUUUUUAAAGCAGUAGCUCUUACAAUUUGGUCUCAGGACCCUCUUACACUCUUAAAAAGAACUUUUAUUUAUAUGUAUUGUCUAUCAAUAUUCACCACAUUAGAAAUUAAAGCUGAGAAAUUUUAAAAUAUUAAGUCAUAUAAAAAUAAUAAAACAAAUCAAAAAUGAAUGAAAAGGAUGGCAUUGUUUUAUAUCUUUGCAAAUCUUUUUAUGCAUCUCCCUUAGUAAAAGACAGCUGGAUUUUUAUAUCUUGAUUCAGUCUUUUGUGAUACGUUGCUUUGGUUGAAGUAUAUAAAGAAAAUCCAGCCUCGCUUGGAAAAGGGAGGGCCUCUGGAACCUCCUGAAACUGAUGAUUUAAAGUCAUGACACUGAUGGGAUCUCUAAGGGAGCAAGGGAAGACAGAGAAGAGACCCAUGGACUGGGCCCAACGAUGGCAAGAGAUCAGGAAGGUGGAGACAAAUCAGCAAAGGAGAUAGAGAGGAGGAAACCCAAGAAAGGGUAAAGGCCUGGAAACCAAGUGAAGAAAGGGUUUUGAGGAGGAAGGAGUGAGGCGGUGAGUAUGUGUGUGUUGGCAGACACGACCCUUAAUGAAGUGAGUACACCCUGCAGUCAUGCUUAGGCAGGCCUUAGAAGGAAAAACAUCUGUUCUCAGACCUGGACUCUGAGGUAGAGAUAGGUUCUCAGGGUGUGGGGAGGUGAGAUAGGCUUGCCCCAGGGAGGCAAGUAGGAGCUAGGCAGGGAGUUACCUCGUAAGGGUCUCUGAUGAGGGGUCUGGGCCUCAGAACUCCUAGCUCUGAUGCUACCAAAAGCCUUCUCUGGGCAGUCCUUCCCUUCUGUUAACCACACAUGCAUCAACAAAAUGUGAGAAUUAAGAGGACGGGGGAGGUUUGUGUUUGGGAUGGAGUGACAAAGAAAAGGGUGGUUCUCCCUUCCUUCAUCCUUGUCCUAGUCUCUCCAAGCCAGAACAGAGGAAGUGGCCUGAAGGAGAUGGCAUAACCUGGAGCUGUAGGCAGAGCCUCAAGAAGACCCAAAGCAGUGGUCUGGCAGAGGCAGCAGUGAGGUGACUUCACAAAGAAGACCAGGGAAAUAUUGUAAAAUAAGUUGUCUAAAUUUAUGAGUGAUAAGAAUCAGGAUCAGCACAAAGCCGGUUUCUAUGAGGUGGAGAUCAGGUAUAUCUCCACCUUCACAUUUCUCCUUUAUCUCUGACACCAGCCGCUCCUCCUACGGCACUCUCUACUUCUCUGCAGGGUUUGAUACUUGCUGCAAGGACCACACACAGAACUCACAGGCCAUACUUACAGUUAUGUGGUUUAUUAGGGAACAGGCUACAACUCAGGAGCAGGAUCAACUUGGAAGUAACAGGAAUAACCAGGGAUUGUUAUCAGGAAGCAAACAGGCAAGGGUCUCUGAAGUGGAAAACACAUUCUUCCCUUGUUCAGUGCAGGACAGCUUCUGAGCGGGACAGCUCUCUGGGCAAAAAGGCUCCUGAAGCAGAUAAGCUCUCCUCUGGAACAGCUCUCAGACUCUUCUGAGCCAGUGCCACUGUCCUCCUCCAGUAAUCAGCAAGUAUGGCUUCUCUGCUGGGCAGCUGCCUUCUUUUUCAGCCAUGCAGGCCUCUCUGCUGUUGGCUUCCAUGCCGUUGGCCUCUCUGUCACUAACUGGCCCAGCUCCUAGCCAGUAUAGCAGUUUGCUUUGCUCUUUAAGCUGCUUUCUGCCAUCAGGCCUCUCUCCCACUAAUUAACUGGCCCAGCUCCCAGCCAGCAUAGCAGC